GAUGAACGCUGGCGGCGUGCCUAACACAUGCAAGUCGAACGAAGCUUGACGGAUGAUUUCUUCGGAAUGAAACCAGAUCUGACUUAGUGGCGGACGGGUGAGUAACACGUGAGCAACCUGCCUUUCAGAGGGGGAUAACGGCUGGAAACGGUCGCUAAUACCGCAUGAUGUGUUCGGAUGGCAUCAUCUGAACAUCAAAGAUUUAUCGCUGAAAGAUGGGCUCGCGUCUGAUUAGAUAGUUGGUGGGGUAACGGCCUACCAAGUCUACGAUCAGUAGCCGGACUGAGAGGUUGAACGGCCACAUUGGGACUGAGAUACGGCCCAGACUCCUACGGGAGGCAGCAGUGGGGAAUAUUGCACAAUGGGGGAAACCCUGAUGCAGCAACGCCGCGUGAAGGAUGACGGUUUUCGGAUUGUAAACUUCUUUUCUUAGUGACGAAGACAGUGACGGUAGCUAAGGAAUAAGCAUCGGCUAACUACGUG
rnacentral:rRNA from 1 species